AAGUAAGAAGCAAAAAUUGCAAUCAGUUUCGACCUGACCUUUGAUGAGCUAAUCAUCCUUACUUU
rnacentral:tRNA from 1 species